rnacentral:rRNA from 1 species
UGCUUGGGAAUAUGCCUUGAGGUGGGGGACAACCAUUGGAAACGAUGGCUAAUACCGCAUAAUGUCUACGGACCAAAGGGGGCUUCGGCUCUCGCCCUUAGAUUAGCCCAAGUGGGAUUAGCUAGUUGGUGAGGUAAUGGCUCACCAAGGCAACGAUCUCUAGCUGGUUUGAGAGGAUGAUCAGCCACACUGGAACUGAGACACGGUCCAGACUCCUACGGGAGGCAGCAGUGGGGAAUAUUGCACAAUGGGCGCAAGCCUGAUGCAGCCAUGCCGCGUGUGUGAAGAAGGCCUCGGUUG